UUGGAGGGCAAGUCUGGUGCCAGCAGCCGCGGUAAUUCCAGCUCCAAUAGCGUAUAUUAAAGUUGUUGCAGUUAAAAAGCUCGUAGUUGAAUUUCGGGAUCAGUACGUUGGUCGUGCCUUAGGUACGUACUGGUGUUACUGGUUCCUACCUUCUGACGAACCAUCAUGUCAUUCAUUUGGUGUGGCGGGGAAUCAGGACUGUUACUUUGAAAAAAUUAGAGUGUUUAAAGCAGGCUCGCGCUUGAAUACAUUAGCAUGGAAUAAUGAAAUAGGACGUUGAUCCUAUUUUGUUGGUUUCUAGGAUUGACGUAAUGAUUAAUAGGGAUAGCUGGGGGCAUUAGUAUUCAAUUGUCAGAGGUGAAAUUCUUGGAUUUAUUGAAGACUAACUACUGCGAAAGCAUUUGCCAAGGAUGUUUUCAUUAAUCAAGAACGAAAGUUAGGGGAUCGAAGACGAUCAGAUACCGUCGUAGUCUUAACCAUAAACUAUGCCGACUAGGGAUCGGAUGAUGUUAAUUUUUUAAUGACUCAUUCGGCGCCUUACGGGAAAC
rnacentral:rRNA from 1 species